GAAUUAAUAUAAUGUAUGUAUGUUAAGUAAACCUUUAAGAAAAGGUUUUUGUUAUUUUUAUGUAAAAAUGCUUUGUUAUUAGAAGUGCUAUGCAAAUUUAUUAUUAUUAAAAGCAAUGCUUCCCAUGAACUGUAUCUUCUUGGUCUUUAGAAUUGUCUUCUGCUUGAAAGUGCUUUGGAAGUGAUUAAAAAGAUGAGAUUGUUGGUUUAGUGCUCACCAACUGAGGAUCAACACUGCCAGGAUGCCAGUCUGGUUUGACUUGCUUCCUCUGGCCCUGGCGCUGGCUGAGUGCUGGCUAGGGGAGAGGCCCUGGAUGAAAGAUGUCCUGGCAGCAGGAACAUUAACACUCACUCUUGAGCCAGGAGGUAGGCGUUAAUGUCUGUAGCUGGAUUUCUAGCAGUGGAGAUAUUUAACACCCUCGCAUGAUCCAGCAACCAGGCACCCUCUCUUUAAACCUAAUUUGGCAAGUGAAAGAGAGAAAGAGUAUUUCCAGUUGAGCAGUUGAGAAAGUACAUAAAGCUCUGUGCCAUGAAGACAAAAGCCAGUUAUUGGAGGCUGAACAUUAUAUGGAGAAGGAGUCUUUUUUGAUUGCAUUGUCUAGAGAGUUACUCUGGUGGGACUUUUCUUAACAGGUCUCACUCAAUAUGGGCCAGUGGGGCAUGUUGGGAAAGUAGUGGCUCUAGGGCAGUGUAAGGAUGUAUGAGGUUCAGGACAGGUUGGAAAUCCACAUCUGAAUGCAGCCUGAAAUACAAUACUGUGACUAGCGUGGUUGCCUGAAUGGUUCUGUUCCCAGGAGGACCAGGAGUUCCUUGGCAUGGUUGUGGGGGAGAAGGAUAAAUGGGAGAACUCAGAGGAACCAGUCCCUCAGGAGAAAGAACAGGAAGUAAAGUGCCUCGCCCAAAUUGCCCUGUGAAGCUGAGCCCAACCAGCUUGAGGUCAAUUUGGAGGAUGCUAUGGGCAUCCUAGUUACAAAGUUCAUGGUAGAAGUCAGGUCACUGCAAGAAUGAACAAAAGCUCCUCUUUUGUCAGGGUUUGACUGACGGCAAUGGUGAAUUUUGACUUUGACUGAGCUUGAAACGUGCUUGUUUUCUCUCCAAAGCUGAGGCCCAUUUGCACAACAAGCAAAAAGACAAGAGACUAAGUUAGAGACCCAGAUGGAGUGGACAUCUUGCCAUCUGUCCCGAAGCUGCAACUUUCCUGAUUCUCCUUGCUUUCAUCAAUGAAUGGCACUACCAUUGUCCUCAUACAGGAAUAUGGAUACCUAUUCCUGAAGAUUCAUCCUUUGCUAUUCCUCCCAAAUAUGGCUAGACAUUUUCACUUCUGGUUACAGUAUCAUAUUUCAGGGUGCAUUCAGAUGUAGAUUUCCAACCUGUCCUGAACAACAUAUUAACAUUACUCUAGUACAGGCCUACAAUCUCCAUAUGCAUCUCAACUCCUCUUUCUGCCACUGCAAUGCAGUGCCCAUGGCCUAUAGUUACCUAUGUGGGCUAAGUACUAUGCUAAGUGUUUUAUAUGGGUCUUUUCAUUUGAUGCAAACAAUGAUGCUAAGAGGUAGGCACUCUUUUUAUACCAGUUUCCAGGUACUUUGCUCAUGGUCACAUAGCUAGAGGAACUGGGAUUUGAAUCAAGAUAUUUGCAUUUAUCAUUCCAAUUCUUCACCCCUUCCUGUGUCCUUGCCUUUUGCCAUGUGACUUUGUAGUUCCCCUAUGAAGAGGUGGAAUCCAUUUUCCUACCCCUUGAUUCUAAGCUCAGCCAUGUGACUUGCUUUGGCCAAUGGGAUGAUAAUGGAUGAUAUAAACAGAAGCUUUUAAGUAA